rnacentral:tRNA from 1 species
GGCUCUGAAGUAUAUAUUACGUUGAAUUGCAAAUUCAAAGAUGCAGUUUAAGUGCUGCCGGGGUCU